rnacentral:misc_RNA from 1 species
GGACUCUACCAGAUAGGUCAACAUUCACUAACAUGCUUUAGGAAUGAUAUAGAUAUCCACUUUUCUGUGGUUGAGUUAACUUAGGGCGUACAAAAAAAAUAACCUGUAGUUUGGAUCAUUUUUAAGUAGGAUCUCGUGGUUUUGGUUUUUACAAACCCGUACCUUCUUGUUAAGUCCGUUAACCAAAAAAAAAAAAAAAAGAAACCCUG